rnacentral:lncRNA from 1 species
CCCGGUGUCGCGGUUGGUUGUUCCUCUCUCUCUCUCUCUCCCCGUCGCGCGCUUGUGUUGUUCUGCUCUUGUUCGUCCCAGAUCUAGGUCAGUUCAUGUCGCCCUCUUGCGCAUGUGGUGCAGCCGCUAGAUUGCUAGGCUUCUGGUUGUUGUGGUCGUCCCGCGCGCGCUGCUGUUUGUACUGUUGUAGUUUGUAGAUGCAGCGGCUUUGUCCCCCUUUUGUCUGUGGAGAUGUAGCUGUUCAUGUAGAUGAGAGGGCAAUCUGUAGAUGUUCCUGUAGGCGCGAGGGAUUCUGUAGAUGUUUCUGUAGAUGUUCCUGUAGGUGCUCAUGUUCCUGUAGGUGAGAGGGCGAUCUGUAGGUGCUCAUGUACUUGUAGCUGCUCAUGUUCCUGUAGCUGAUGGGGAUUCUGUAGAUGUAGCUUGGCGGAUGUCUGUAGUUGUAGCAUGCGGGAUGUUGUAGAUGUACUGGUAGAUGUCUAGCUCGUUCCUGCUCGUGUCGGGAUGCUCCCUGAUGCUUCUGCGUGUUUUCCUGCUCUUGCCCCUGCUCAUGUACUGGUAGAUGCUAGGUGCUCGUGUCAAGCUCUUUUUUUGUAUUCAAAUGAAUUAGGCUCCUGAUUUGUUGUUGGAGGUGUAGUUCUCCUUUGUACCGUGUUUGUUUUUCUUCUAGCAGGAAUGAAUUUUAAGUUUAAUUUCUGUGUACUUUUGGCUCGGCCCUUUUCAGUGUUGUCAAUUGUUUGAUCAGACCUUUUCAGUGUCGUCACAGACUUCCAGUGUAAUAUCAGUUUUGUAGUCUUACAGGGGUAAUUUCUCCCAGUUUGUAUAGUGUAAUUAACCCUGAAUUUCUAGGGUGAUUUUUUAUUGUAAUUGCAGUGUAGUUUUAUGUGUAAUUUUCCCAAAUUUUCAUUGUAACUUUAUGUCAGUUUUACUGUGUAAUUCAUCUCAGAUUUACAGACUUUAAGUGUAUUUUAGCCGUUUUAAUUCCACUGUGAUUUUAUCUCAUUUGUUGCAUUGUAAUGUAAUUUGUCUCAGUCUUGCAGCAUAACCUGUCCCAGAUUUUAUGUGUAAUUUGAGUGGAUUUUCUCACAGUGUAGUUCAUCCCAGCAUUUCGUACUUUUAAGU